rnacentral:rRNA from 1 species
AGAGUUUGAUCCUGGCUCAGGAUGAACGCUGGCGGCGUGCUUAACCCAUGCAAGUCGAACGGACUUUUGAUGAAGCCUAGCGAUUCAAAAAGUUAGUGGCGGACGGGUGAGUAACGCGUGGGUAACCUGCCUUAUACAGGGGGAUAACACUUAGAAAUAGGUGCUAAUACCGCAUAAGCGCACAGUAUCGCAUGAUACAGUGUGAAAAACUCCGGUGGUAUAAGAUGGACCCGCGUCUGAUUAGCUAGUUGGUGAGGUAACGGCUCACCAAGGCGACGAUCAGUAGCCGGCCUGAGAGGGUGAACGGCCACAUUGGGACUGAGACACGGCCCAAACUCCUACGGGAGGCAGCAGUGGGGAAUAUUGCACAAUGGGGGAAACCCUGAUGCAGCGACGCCGCGUGAGUGAAGAAGUAUUUCGGUAUGUAAAGCUCUAUCAGCAAGGAAGAAAAUGACGGUACUUGACUAAGAAGCCCCGGCUAACUACGUGCCAGCAGCCGCGGU